UACAGAGGGGGCAAGCGUUGUUCGGAAUUACUGGGCGUAAAGGGCGCGUAGGCGGCCUUCUAAGUCGAACGUGAAAUCCCCGGGCUCAACCCGGGAACUGCGUCCGAUACUGGAAGGCUUGAAUCCGGGAGAGGGAUGCGGAAUUCCAGGUGUAGCGGUGAAAUGCGUAGAUAUCUGGAGGAACACCGGUGGCGAAGGCGGCAUCCUGGACCGGUAUUGACGCUGAGGCGCGAAAGCUAGGGGAGCAAACGGGG
rnacentral:rRNA from 1 species